AUUCCACCAUACUUUUUUUUUUCUGCACUUUACCAAAUGGGCCUUCUCACACUCCUUCGCAAGCUCAAAAAGAGCGAAACAGAGCCGCGCAUGUUGAUUUUGGGUCUCGAUAAUGCUGGAAAGACCUCAAUUCUCCGCAAGCUGUCCGACGAAGACCCUACCACCACUCAGGCAACUCAGGGAUUCAACAUCAAAUCCAUCAACUGCGAGGGCUUUAAGCUGAACAUGUGGGAUAUUGGUGGUCAAAAGGCGAUCCGCACGUACUGGCCAAACUACUACGAUGAAGUAGACUGCCUGAUUUACGUCGUCGAUGCUGCCGAUCGGCGUCGCCUCGAGGAGACGGCGGCAGAGCUCGACACGCUUCUGCAGGAAGAAAAGCUUCGGGAGGCUCCUGUGCUUAUUUUCUCCAACAAGUGUGACCUCGCUACGGCACUGUCCCCGGAAAAUGUAAGCACAGCACUCAAUCUGCACAGCUUGCGCGAUCGCACGUGGUCUAUCCAGAAGUGCAGCGCGAAAACGGGCGAGGGCCUGCAUGAAGGACUGGAGUGGGCGGUGAAGAACCUUAAGCCCAAGUGAACAGUUAAUGGCGCACCUUUUUCUACUUUCGGUUUUCUGUUUUCCAGACGCUAAUCGGCGCGUCUGCGACAAGUUUCGGGAGAAGAAAGAGUAUUAGGGAUUCUCCAAAACGAAGAAUACGAUAGAAACAGUUUUUUUUUCUCAUAUACCUGCGCUAUUUUUGCUCAUGUACAACGGCCAAUACAACAGCCGCCAGCCACC
rnacentral:misc_RNA from 1 species